rnacentral:tRNA from 1 species
UCCCAGGUGACUGGGUGGUACAGAAUCUGCCUGCAAUGCAGGAGACACAGGUUCGAUCCCUGGGUUGGGAA